rnacentral:rRNA from 1 species
UACGUACGGUGCAAGCGUUGUCCGGAAUUAUUGGGCGUAAAGAGCUCGUAGGCGGUUUGUCGCGUCUGCUGUGAAAACUCGGGGCUUAACCCCGGGCCUGCAGUGGGUACGGGCAGACUAGAGUGCGGUAGGGGAGACUGGAAUUCCUGGUGUAGCGGUGAAAUGCGCAGAUAUCAGGAGGAACACCGGUGGCGAAGGCGAGUCUCUGGGCCGUAACUGACGCUGAGGAGCGAAAGCGUGGGGAGCGAACAGG